rfam:Lentinula edodes NBRC 111202 DNA, contig: scaffold65.
GGUGAGAUGGCCGAGCGGUCUAAGGCGCCAGACUAAGGAAUGACCAGCGCAUUUGGAUGCGCAGGAUAUCUGGUCACAUUGUGGCGUGGGUUCGAAUCCCACUCUCAUCA